UACGAAGGGGGCUAGCGUUGCUCGGAAUCACUGGGCGUAAAGGGUGCGUAGGCGGGUCUUUAAGUCAGGGGUGAAAUCCUGGAGCUCAACUCCAGAACUGCCUUUGAUACUGAGGAUCUUGAGUCCGGGAGAGGUGAGUGGAACUGCGAGUGUAGAGGUGAAAUUCGUAGAUAUUCGCAAGAACACCAGUGGCGAAGGCAGCUCGCUGGGACGGUACUGACGCUGAGACGCGAAAGCGUGGGGAGCAAACAGG
rnacentral:rRNA from 1 species